rnacentral:rRNA from 1 species
GACGAACGCUGGCGGCGUGCCUAAUACAUGCAAGUUGAGCGCUGAAGGCUGGUACUUGUACCAACUGGAUGAGCAGCGAACGGGUGAGUAACGCGUGGGGAAUCUGCCUUUGAGCGGGGGACAACAUUUGGAAACGAAUGCUAAUACCGCAUAAAAACUUUAAACACAAGUUUUAAGUUUGAAAGAUGCAAUUGCAUCACUCAAAGAUGAUCCCGCGUUGUAUUAGCUAGUUGGUGAGGUAAAGGCUCACCAAGGCGAUGAUACAUAGCAGACCUGAGGAGGUGAUCAGCCACAUUGGGACUGAGACACGGCCCAAACUCCUACGGGAGGCAGCAGUAGGGAAACUUCGGCAAUGGACGAAAGUCUGACCGAGAAACGCCGCGUGAGGGAAGAAGGGUUUCGGAUCGUAAAACUCUGUUGGUAGAGAAGAACGUUGGUGAGAGUGGAAAGCUCAUCAAGUGACGGUAACUACCCAGAAAGGGACGGCUAACUACGUG